CCUACGGGUGGCAGCAGUGAGGAAUAUUGGUCAAUGGUCGGAAGCCUGAACCAGCCAAGCAGCGUGCAGGAUGACGGUCCUACGGAUUGUAAACUGCUUUUAUACGGGAAUAACGCGUCUUACGUGUACGCCGUUGCGUGUACCUGAUGAAUAAGGACCGGCUAAUUCCGUGCCAGCAGCCGCGGUAAUACGGAAGGUGCGGGCGUUAUCCGGAUUUAUUGGGUUUAAAGGGAGCGUAGGCAGCAUGUUAAGUGAGCUGUGAAAUGGCCGGGCUCAACCCGGGCCUGGCCGUGGAAACUGGCGUGCUUGAGUCCGCGGAAAGCAGGCGGAAUGCGCGGUGUAGCGGUGAAAUGCAUAGAUAUGACGAAGAACCCCGAUUGCGAAGGCAGCUUGCUGCAGCGGAACUGACGCUGAGGCACGAAAGCGUGGGUAUCGAACAGGAUUAGAUACCCUAGUAGUC
rnacentral:rRNA from 1 species